rnacentral:tRNA from 1 species
UCCCUUGUGGCUCAGUUGGUAAAGAAUCUGCCUUCAAUGCAGGAGACCUGGGUUUGAUCCCUGGAUUGGGAA